GACAGAGGUGCCGAGCGUUAGGCGGAAUCACUGGGCUUAAAGCGUGUGUAGGCGGAUCUGUAAGUACCUUGUGAAAUCCCACGGCUCAACCGUGGAACUGCUUGGUAUACUGCGGGUCUUGAGCCACCUAGGGGCAAGUGGAACAAACGGUGGAGCGGUGAAAUGCGUAGAUAUCGUUUGGAACGCCAAUGGUGAAAACAACUUGCUGGGGGUGUGCUGACGCUGAGGAGCGAAAGCUAGGGGAGCAAACGGG
rnacentral:rRNA from 1 species